GCCUCUUGAAUUACUAUGAGAGGUCCAGCCUGCCCAGUGACCCUGUUCAACGGCCGCGGUAUCCUAACCGUGCGAAGGUAGCGUAAUCACUUGUUCUCUAAAUGCGGACUAGUAUGAAUGGCAUCACGAAGGUUAUACUGUCUCCUUUUUCUAAUCAGUGAAACUAAUCUCCCCGUGAAGAAGCGGGGAUAGCGCUAUAAGACGAGAAGACCCUAUGGAGCUUUAAACAAUACAGCAUCUGCCCCACAAUACUGAAAUUUCCGAAUUCAAACUCUUUUGGACAGUGUGACUGCGAGUUUUUGGUUGGGGUGACCACGGAGCAUAACAUAACCUCCAUGCUGAAAGAACAUUUCUAAGCUAAGAACCACAAAUCCAAGCAUCAAUAAAUUGACAUCCAUUGACCCAAUACACUUGAGCAACGAACCAAGUUACCCUAGGGAUAACAGCGCAAUCCACUUCAAAAGCUCCUAUCGACAAGUGGGUUUACGACCUCGAUGUUGGAUCAGGGUCUCCCAGUGGUGCAGCCGCUACUAAAGGUUCGUUUGUUCAACGAUUAAAACCCUACGUG
rnacentral:rRNA from 1 species